CUUCACAGUCCUUUUGCCAAUUUGAGAGGAAUAAUGCUAUACCCAGUGGUAUCAAAGGCUGUGCUGAGAUCCAACCAACAGCAAAUACUCAUUUCCUAGUUUUCGUUGCAUAUUUAGUUAUCUUUACAACAUAACCACAGGAAUUAUUCCCUGGUCUCUCUAAGGACUACUCCACAUUAAAACUAUAAAUGAUGCUGUAAGUCAGGUAUUGUAGAAAAUGUCUGAAAGAAUAUGAACAGAAAGAAAUUGUAAACAGCCCCUUUCUUGUGUACUUUGUCUACAGAUGCUGACAGACACAAAAUCAUUCAAGUGGCUUUGCUGCAAGAAGGCUCCUGGAUUCAGAAUACCCACUCCACUCCUGGUAAAGAAAAGAUGUCCAUGGGUCCCCACUGCUCAUCCUUGGUACACACCGGAACCAUCCUCGGGGCAGAUCUUCAUCGGGUGUCAGAGAAAUGGCAAAGCCGUUUCAUUCAGGGUCCCUGGUGUCCAAGUGGGUUCAUCCAUGUCCACGAGAGCUUGA
rnacentral:lncRNA from 1 species